GGUGGCUUUCUUGGGAUGCACGAGAAGUUUGUUGGAGAACCUGAUAGGACUGGGCAUAGUUCUGGAAGGCACUAUUAUUAACACCAUUUUAUGGGUGGGGAAAUGGAAACUCCAAGAAGAUAAAUGACCUGCCUGCGGUCAUCCAGCUCUAAGUGGCAGAGGCAGGACGCGAACCCAGGCAGAUUGGCCUCAGUGCCGGGGCUCGUAUAGAAAUCACAUCCCCGAAAUCAGCUGGCAGCUGCCACGGUCCUGUCGCCGAAGGAGAGUGUUUGCUGGCCUUCACAGAGAGGGCUCUUGUGGGCACCAGAUAAUUCCGAGAGCCAGAUGGCAAAUCUAGACCCUGGCCCACAUGGGAGGACGGAAGACUAUCUCAGAGGACUUAAGGCCGGCACAUAG